rnacentral:lncRNA from 1 species
CCUUAAGCUGAGCCGCGCGAAUUCUGGUUUCCAUUCAUCUCGAGCUGCGCCGAGUCCGGCUCCUACUGGGGAGCUGCGGCAGUUUGUUACUCGAGGCCGCCCUUCAAGGCGGGCCCCGAAGGUCCGGCCUGGUGAAGAGUUGGUUUUGUCAGCAGUUUGGUCUCUCCAUGUUUGACAGCUUCCCUUUGCUCACCCAGAUGGGAGAAAAAGCAAGAUGAAAGUACUUUAAUACUAAAAGAGUAAGAGCCCAUGAGCACAACACAAUUUCAGACUUCGAAGAAAAGGAGGAAUUAAUAAGUGAUGUCCCCAAGAAGGCAGAAAUAUCUGGGAGAGGUAAAGACUCGGCUUCAGGGUCCACCACAGAUACCACAAUUAGAAGAAGCUGAAGUCCUUAUGAGUUGGUGAUUUGUGUCAAGUAUUUUGUUACAGCACUGAAAAGUAUGGCAUACUACUUAAAGAAUAAGACUCUGUAGAUGAAAUAGAUUACUCCUGUGAAAAAAUAUCCUGGUUAUUCAAUAAAUACUCCGCGUGGGAGGAGUAGAGAAAGACGGAAAGGCAUCUGCUAGAACUAUGUGAGAGUCUGGACAUUUUCUGGCCUUCUUGUAAAAGAAGAUAAAGGGAUGUGUUUCUGAGUGUCAUCCUGAUCUUUCCAAAGUGUUGCAGUGUGGUCCAGAGAGCAGAGCCAGCCUUUUUGCUGUGGAUCCCAUCACCAUCCAUUGCUGAAGAAGAAGCAGGGCUCAGGACAAGCAUGUCAAACACACCUGACACUACAAAUCUACACUUUGCAACUGGCUCUCAUCACAUGCUGUCUUCUCACCCUUCUCCACUGAAAAAUAAAAGGAAAAUGUAUGAUGGCCAAGUAAAAAAUGACAGGAAAUCUUCUAGUCAAGCUUAAUAGUAUUUGCUAUGUUUAGCUUACAGAACUGAAAAAUACCUAUUAGUGUAAAGACAUUAAGAAAUGCACAGAAAGAUGAAAAUAAAACGAAACCCCAUCCCAAGAGAUCCCCUGCUUUUAGCAUUUUAUGGCAUACUUCUCUAAACUUUAAUAAAAUGUUUCAGUGAUUUAAAA